UUCAACGGAUUGGCUAAGGCCAGUCGACCUCACAGAGGGCAAUCUGCUUCAAUCCAAGGGCAACCAUUUAAAGGUUAAUUUCAUCCCCCAAAAACACCUUCACAGACACAUCCAGAACCAUGUUUGACCAAAAACCCGGGCUCUGUGGCCCAGCCAAGUUGACACAUCAAAUUAACCUUCACAGAAGAGAAAGGAAAAGAAAGAAAGGGAAGAAAAAGGAAAAGAAGAAAAAAAAGCAACGUGAUAUCCUGUGAAAGGCCAGGACCUGGUAGCAGCUCACCAAAAUGAUGCUCAUUUUAUUAUUUUUAUUAUCAUUAAAUCAUUUUUAUCUGUUCAUCCAUCUUUUGUUUACAGAGGGAGAAACGGAGACGGGGACAUGCUACACGCAGUUCUGUGUCCUGUUGAGGGCAUUCAGUCACUGGAUAUGUGUGGCCAUUUAUCAGACUGGGGAAAAUUCUGAGAUGGGCAGAGUACCCUGGUUUUGUACGUAACCGACUGAAUUCCCCCAUUCAGCAAGACCAAUCAGAAUGAUCAAUUGAGAGUACAAUUGAAUUCCUUUGGAACUAACAGAAACAAAAGCUGACCUAGUUUAUAUUGUCGAGUGGGGCUCCAGAGAUUCAAUCUCCGCUUAUGAGGAGCUAAGAUGGCCAACGGGCUUUGUUUCACGGGGACGUCAUCAAUUCAUUUGCUGAUUUAACAGGAUAUGAUAAACAUGUUGUAUCCUAUAUGCCUAGCACAGCACGGGGCUUUGAAGGGACCCGGAGAAGUAGGACACACAACGUGUAUUGAAUCCUUACGUCCCUGCCAUCCUAUUUAUGUGUAUGACCUAAUUUUGCCCUCGUUUCAUUUUAAGCUGUGUAAACCUUAGGGAGGCACCAGCCUUCCUGGUUUGUCUUUGUUCUAAAUGUUGAAGAGUUUGUAAGAGGGGCAGGGUGCCGCGGUCCUGCCUCACGGUCGCAGCGGUGAGAAACUGAAACAUCGCAGAAGAGUCGAAUUGCUACCUUGGACGAGCGGUGUCGAGUGGGAGGUGCGGGCAGGUCAGAGGACCAGGCACCCGAUGGGGAGGAGGUGACUGGGGGCGGCAUCGUAAAGGCCCACAAAGACAGAUCAAUGGCGAUGAGCCCCUCUGGAGGGCCGGAGGGUCCGGAGGAAGCCCAAGUCCCACAGCUCAUCAGUAGCAAGGUCCGAUCAGAACGUCUGCAGACCCCGGUGUGAUGUGCUGCCCUGACCUCUGUCCUAGGACCCCCCUCCCCUAGAGCUCUGCCCUAGAGCUGAACAAUGAAGGCAGCGGGGCCGUACCGUGGCGUAAGAAUAAGCUUGGAGUCGGGAAAAGGAAACAAGACCACGGGGUCCCACCUCUGCGAUGCCUCGAGGGUGAGCUCUCAGGGGGAUGGUGACGGUUCCGUGAUCCUCUGGGGCUUCUGCACGAUGCAUCUGGAGAGAAGCGUGGCUGGAGCACGUGAUAGAAGAGGCCGUGGUAUCGCACAGAAACUUCCACCGUGGGGAGUCAAAAACGUCUACUGCAGACCCAAGGCUGCUUGCAGCAGGAGUUGGGACGGUCCAGGGCGCGUAAGGAGCUGGCAACGAGGUGCUUGGUGUCCUCAGGCCGCCCCGCCUUCAAGCCUGGGGAUUUACCGGGCACUUCUCUCAGUGGCAGCGUGAUUUGGGGCACUCAUGAGCCUGCCGGUGUCUCAGGGCUCUGGACCUUUAUCCUUCAGGUGACCAUAGCUUUCAGCCUGCCAGGCGGCCGGAAGGAAUCACUGCUGUGUAGAAAGUUCCCGGCACAAUGCCUGGCUUCGUGUGGCACCCAACGAAUGGACCCUUUGUCCCUUCCGGGGAGCACUCUGGAAUGGAGCGGCGAAAAGGAGCUGCGGGACGGAGAACGAUUCCCAGCCCACCUUUCUCGCCUGCUUACGUGUGUGGCUGCACCAGCUGCGUCCGAGAUUCUGCCACGUGCCGGCUGCACGAAGAUCUAGGAGACAGAGGCAGAGCGUGAGCGGAGGAGGGGCAGAAAGAGAGGGAGCCACAGAA